rnacentral:lncRNA from 1 species
AGGUUUGCAGAUGCCCAACAAGAGUCCAUCGCAGAUGCGUUGCGCGUUGGCAAUUGUAUUCGGCAGGAAAACGGUAAGGGGUACCCCUUGCGGAAAGUACGGGAUUCUUUGUUUGUGCGCGAGCUUGUAUGGUUGCCCAAACAUCAUAAAUGCUGUGGUCAUAACGAGCAGUUUCAAGGAUGUUUAGGGUACGCGUAUGAAGGGCUCAUGCGGUACCGAGAGGGUAACACGUAUAGCUCUUCCUCGAUGGCUGUGUUGCGUGUUUAUGGCUUGGGAUGCGAUAACCUCCUUUCAAGCUAGAUUUCCUUCUGUUUCAGGGGUCGUUUAUCGAAUGUCUGGAUUUGUUGUUUGACAUCUUGCGCGAGGCGUGCACAAGGACAGCGCCUUCCUGUCGUUGACUGCCAUGGCUGUAGCAUGUUUCAACGGUUGGGCAUAUGCUUAGUUAUGUUUAUGUGCGCUUGCCCCGGUCCGUCGACUCUGGGCGUCGGGACGUGCAGGCCAACAGUUGGUUUCCCCGCUGAGGAACCGGCGAACAGGCUCCUUUCCUCAAACGUAUUUUGUCUAUGUCCUUUUUUCAUGUUGAAUGUAGCGAGGAGAAGUCGUGCCGCUUCUGCCAGGGCGAUUUGCCCGAUUGGAAGGAAGUCCUUACGCCGCGCACGCUUCCUCCGGCUGUUCCAGUCCUUAGCAUAUACUACAACAACACCUGCUGCAGGUAAGCUUCUAGCUCUUUCCUGUGCUUCCUAUGUGCUGCUGUUGGUAGGUGUAGUUGCAUGUGCUACAGCUCCUUCCUUCUCCCCAUCAUACCCCCGGCGGUUGAAAGUACGCGCCGUACUGGUUUGUGCGAUUUGCGGCUCUGUCGUGGGACCUAGAGUGCCGCGCUGUUGUUCAACGCACGAAAGGGCUGGCAUAGUUGCCCACGACGUUUAUUAAUUGGACGUCCUGCAAGUCAUACGGAUCAUGCGGACGGUGUCGGACAGCUGAUUGAGCCCUGAAGCACUUCAUGUUGUAAGGGGCAUUGCUCAG